CACGUAGGGCGCAAGCGUUGUCCGGAAUUAUUGGGCGUAAAGAGCUCGUAGGCGGUCUGUUACGUCUGCUGUGAAAACCCAGGGCUUAACCCUGGGCUUGCAGUGGAUACGGGCAGACUAGAGGCAGGUAGGGGAGAAUGGAAUUCCCGGUGUAGCGGUGAAAUGCGCAGAUAUCGGGAAGAACACCCGUGGCGAAGGCGGCUCUCUGGGACGGUACUGACGCUGAGACGCGAAAGCGUGGGGAGCGAACAGG
rnacentral:rRNA from 1 species